rnacentral:rRNA from 1 species
UGGGGAAUAUUGCACAAUGGGCGAAAGCCUGAUGCAGCAACGCCGCGUGAGUGAUGAAGGCCUUCGGGUUGUAAAGCUCUGUCUUUUGGGGCGAUAAUGACGGUACCAAAGGAGGAAGCCACGGCUAACUACGUGCCAGCAGCCGCGGUAAUACGUAGGUGGCAAGCGUUGUCCGGAUUUACUGGGCGUAAAGGAUGCGUAGGCGGAUUUUUAAGUGAGAUGUGAAAUACCCGGGCUUAACUUGGGUGCUGCAUUUCAAACUGGGAAUCUAGAGUGCGGGAGAGGAGAAUGGAAUUCCUAGUGUAGCGGUGAAAUGCGUAGAGAUUAGGAAGAACACCAGUGGCGAAGGCGAUUCUCUGGACCGUAACUGACGCUGAGGCAUGAAAGCGUGGGUAGCAAACAGGAUUAGAUACCCUGGUAGUCCACGCCGUAAACGAUGAGUACUAGGUGUAGGAGGUAUCGACCCCUUCUGUGCCGCAGUUAACACAGUAAGUACUCCGCCUGGGAAGUACGAUCGCAAGAUUAAAACUCAAAUGAAUUGAC